rnacentral:rRNA from 1 species
UGGGGGAUAUUGCACAAUGGGGGGAACCCUGAUGCAGCGACGCCGCGUGAGGGAAGACGGUUUUCGGAUUGUAAACCUCUGUCUUUAGGGACGAAACAAAUGACGGUACCUAAAGAGGAAGCCACGGCUAACUACGUGCCAGCAGCCGCGGUAAUACGUAGGUGGCAAGCGUUGUCCGGAAUUACUGGGUGUAAAGGGAGCGUAGGCGGGAAUGCAAGUUGAAUGUUUAAACUAUGGGCUCAACCCAUAGUCGCGUUCAAAACUGCAUUUCUUGAGUGGAGUAGAGGCAGGCGGAAUUCCUAG